GACGAACUGUGCAAACGUUAUUCGGAAUCACUGGGCUUAAAGGGUGCGUAGGCGGUCUUGUAAGUAGGGUGUGAAAGCCCCCGGCUCAACUGGGGAGGGUCGUGCGAUACGGUCGGACUUGAGGCCAGUAGGGGGAUGCGGAAUUCCGGGUGUAGUGGUGGAAUGCGUAGAGAUCCGGAGGAACACCAGCGGCGAAGGCGGCAUCCUGGACUGGUCCUGACGCUCAGGAGCGAAAGCGUGGGGAGCGAUCCGG
rnacentral:rRNA from 1 species